rnacentral:rRNA from 1 species
GACAGAGGGUGCAAACGUUGUUCGGAAUUACUGGGCGUAAAGCGAGUGUAGGCGGUUCGGUAAGUCGGAUGUGAAAGCCCGGGGCUCAACCCCGGAAUUGCCUUUAAGACUGCAUCGCUAGAAUUGUGGAGAGGUAAGUGGAAUUCCGAGUGUAGAGGUGAAAUUCGUAGAUAUUCGGAAGAACACCAGUGGCGAAGGCGACUUACUGGACACAUAUUGACGCUGAGGUGCGAAAGCGUGGGGAGCAAACAGG